rnacentral:rRNA from 1 species
AGAAUCAACGCUGGCGGCGUGCCUAACACAUGCAAGUCGAACGCGGAAGGGGAGCAAUCCCUGAGUAGAGUGGCAAACGGGUGAGUAACACGUGGGUGACCUGCCUUCGAGUGGGGGAUAACGUCCCGAAAGGGACGCUAAUACCGCAUGACAUCCUGUCUUUGGACAGACGGAGAUCAAAGCUGGGGAUCGCAAGACCUGGCGCUUGAAGAGGGGCCCGCGCCUGAUUAGCUAGUUGGUGAGGUAACGGCUCACCAAGGCUACGAUCAGUA